GACGAACGCUGGCGGCGUGCUUAACACAUGCCAGUCGAACGGAAAGGCCCUGCUUUUGUGGGGUGCUCGAGUGGCGAACGGGUGAGUAACACGUGAGUAACCUGCCCUUGACUUUGGGAUAACUUCAGGAAACUGGGGCUAAUACCGGAUAGGAGCUCCUGCUGCAUGGUGGGGGUUGGAAAGUUUCGGCGGUUGGGGAUGGACUCGCGGCUUAUCAGCUUGUGGGUGGGGUAGUGGCUUACCAAGGCUUUGACGGGUAGCCGGCCUGAGAGGGUGACCGGCCACAUUGGGACUGAGAUACGGCCCAGACUCCUACGGGAGGCAGCAGUGGGGAAUAUUGCGCAAUGGGCGGAAGCCUGAUGCAGCAACGCCGCGUGCGGGAUGACGGCCUUCGGGUUGUAAACCGCUUUCGCCUGUGACGAAGCGUGAGUGACGGUAAUGGGUAAAGAAGCACCGGCUAACUACGUG
rnacentral:rRNA from 1 species